UGGGGAAUUUUGGACAAUGGGCGAAAGCCUGAUCCAGCAAUGCCGCGUGUGUGAAGAAGGCCUUCGGGUUGUAAAGCACUUUUGUCCGGAAAGAAAUCCUUGGCUCUAAUACAGUCGGGGGAUGACGGUACCGGAAGAAUAAGCACCGGCUAACUACGUGCCAGCAGCCGCGGUAAUACGUAGGGUGCAAGCGUUAAUCGGAAUUACUGGGCGUAAAGCGUGCGCAGGCGGUUUGCUAAGACCGAUGUGAAAUCCCCGGGCUCAACCUGGGAACUGCAUUGGUGACUGGCAGGCUAGAGUAUGGCAGAGGGGGGUAGAAUUCCACGUGUAGCAGUGAAAUGCGUAGAGAUGUGGAGGAAUACCGAUGGCGAAGGCAGCCCCCUGGGCCAAUACUGACGCUCAUGCACGAAAGCGUGGGGGAGCAAAACAGGAUUAGAUACCCUGGUAGUCCACGCCCUAAACGAUGUCAACUAGUUGUUGGGGAUUCAUUCCUUAGUAACGUAGCUAACGCGUGAAGUUGACCGCCUGGGGAGUACGGUCGCAAGAUUAAAACUUAAAUGAAUUGAC
rnacentral:rRNA from 1 species